rnacentral:rRNA from 1 species
GACGAACGCUGGCGGCGUGCUUAACACAUGCCAGUCGAACGGAAAGGCCCUGCUUUUGUGGGGUGCUCGAGUGGCGAACGGGUGCGUAACACGUGAGUAACCUGCCCUUGACUUUGGGAUAACUUCAGGAAACUGGGGCUAAUACCGGAUAGGAGCUCCUGCUGCAUGGUGGGGGUUGGAAAGUUUCGGCGGUUGGGGAUGGACUCGCGGCUUAUCAGCUUGUUGGUGGGGUAGUGGCUUACCAAGGCUUUGACGGGUAGCCGGCCUGAGAGGGUGACCGGGCACAUUGGGACUGAGAGACGGACCAGACUGCUACGGGAGGCAGCAGGGGGGAAUAUGGCACAAUGGGCGGAAGCGUGAGGCAGCAACGCUGCGUGCGGGAUGACGGCCUGCGGGUUGUAAACCGCUUUCGCCUGUGACGAAGCGUGAGUGACGGUAAUGGGUAAAGAAGCACCGGCUAACUACGUG